CGGGGGCGACCCCAUGGAAAGAGCCACAGAGAGCAAACCGCCAUGCAUCGCAUGGUAAGGGUGAAAGGGUGGGGGAAGAGCCCACCGCGCUUCUGGUAACAGCGGCGGCAAGGUAAACCCCACCGGGAGCAAGACCGAAUAGGGGCGGCGCGCGGUCUCCCGCGAGGGAGCCGCAGGCCCUCUCUCCAGGCCAGUCGCCCGGGUUGGUUGCUCGAGGCGGUCGGCAACGGCCGUCCCAGA
rnacentral:RNase_P_RNA from 1 species